UAUUAAAGUCCUACGAAUUCUUAUGAAACUCGUGCUCAAUUAUACAAUUAUGCUGGGUUUACACAUUAUGGUGAUGUUUGUAGAUGCAAUGCACCCCAAAUAACUGUCUGACCUGCAGCAGUCUGAAUGUUUACUUCUCUGGAUCUACUAAACAGAUUUUCAUUUGGUUAUCACAGGUAGCUUAAUCUGGAGCAACAUAAGGUUAAUUAUGAAAUGGUAAUGAAAAUGAUCAUCUGAGAAAAGCAAAUUCCAUGAACUAAUUUGAAAGUAUCUGUUACCAGAAGUAAAUUUUUUACUAUACCACUGUUCAAUAUUAAACCACAGGUAUAUGUACUAAAGGCAGUAAUGUCCAGAUAAUCAAUGAUUAGACCAUUGGACUUUUAGAAUAAAUUUUACAUUAAACUAUGGUUGUCAUCUACAUUUUUAAAAAAGACGAGAUGUUUUGCCUGUAAGAAGAAGAGAGAGAGAGAAUAAGAAGCAAUCCUGCUUCUUCUCAUGAAUUUUACCCGCAUGACGACGGUUUUUAAUAUAAAAAAUAUUUACAAUGUCUCAAAAAGCAAUCAAAGCUUUGAAAAAUAAACAAUGUUCGCAGAAGUUUAGUACCAACAAACUUACAAAAAAUGAGCCCAAAUUUAGCAUUACUUGCAAGCCAGACUAAGAAAUUUCAAGAAGAUAAUUUAAAAGAAGACAAUAGACUAAAAUAAUAUUAACACACAAUGCUUAGCAAAUAUAGCAUUAACAGAUGGAAAUCAGGCAAUAGAUAUGUUAAAAUAGGUUAUGUUUCAUAGAAGCUAUUUUAAUCCUACACAUCCAUCAUUCAUCAUUGUCUCCAUAUAGUAGAGGAGGUAUGGAGCUGAGACCCACCACACUGCUCCAAUGCUGUU
rnacentral:lncRNA from 1 species